UGAGCCGAGAUAGCGCCACUGCACUCCAGCCCGGGCGACAGAGCGAGACUCCAUCUAAAAAAAAAAAAAAAAAAACAACAACUGGCCCCUGUUCCUUGUUGGUUAAAAGUUCCUUCCAGGGACCAUUACCUCCUCUCACUUCCAAGCUGUGCGUGCAUGCCAAACAUUCUGCCGAGAUGUUCACAGAGAAGCUUGGGGAAAGAAAGUAGGAAACCGAAACCAAAGGUGCAGAGCUGAGGUGAAAGACGGUUUAGAUGCUCCGAUGUGAUGACUGAGCAGAACUGAUGAGGCUGAAAAAACUGAAGUAGUGCACAACAGAAUGCUUUUGACAUCCUGCUGCAAAAGAAGAGGAAAGUUCUGAAGUGUCCUGAUUCAAAGGUCCUGGUCCAUGGUUUCUCCUUCCACCAGGACAACCUGUUCCAGUGUGGAGGCAGGGGUCCGGACAACAGCCCUGACACUGACGUGGGAUGCCCAUUGUUUGCAGAUCCUGUUCCCAAGUUUCUUCAUGGGGAAGAGCUGAUCAUAAUUUUAUCUGAUCAUAGUUCAGGCUGAGCUAGGGCACACAGACAUCAUGGUUUGGAAUUUUUUUGUAUAUCCUCCAUAAUGUGUACAUUGCCUUAUACAUAGUGCAUGCUCAUGACUCAAAAAUAACUCACUGAAUUAACAAAUGAAUGAACAAUCUAAUCAUCACAUAAAGCAGGAAGGGCUGCCCUUUUGUCCAGAAUUGUGAAACUGCGGGCUUCCAGGGAUGUGGGAGUGCUGUCUUGCCCUGCCUCCUAUCUUUCUAACUUUAGCCACCACUUUAGAGGUAGCAUUUAGCUCCAGUGACACGAAUCUACCAAUGAGGCUUACACUUUGCAUAAACUCUGCUCUACUGCCAAAAACUUAAAGCUGAAUUAAAACAAUGAAAUAUCCAUCAGCCAGUGUUUGUCAGGCACUAACUGUAUAUGUGUGCAACACUCUUGUGAAACUUACAGAAUUUACAAAUAAAAUGCAGCACACCAUUCUUGCUCUUCGAGAACUUUAAAUCUUUUCAGGACUAAUAUGAAAAUAUUCACAGACAAAAAAUGCAAAACUUUAUAAAUAACACAAUAUUGAAUUGAGUGGUUCAGAAAAUAAGGAGGUGCUGAGUUUAGAGAAGUUGAUUGAGCUGAA
rnacentral:lncRNA from 1 species